GACACCUUAGCAAAGUGGUUAAUGCGGCGCCCUGCUAAGGCGUUCUCUUCGGAGGCGCAGGUUCGAACCCUGCAGGUGUCG
rnacentral:ncRNA from 13 species